rnacentral:rRNA from 1 species
AACGUAGGAGACAAACGUUAUCCGGAGUUACUGGGCGUAAAGGGCGUGUAGGUGGUUUCGUAAGUCUGGCGUGAAAUUUCUCGGCUUAACCGAGGCAGGUCGUCGGAUACUGCGGAACUUGAGGACGGUAGAGGCGUGUGGAAUUCCGGGUGUAGUGGUGAAAUGCGUAGAUAUCUGGAGGAACACCGGUGGCGAAGGCGGCGUUCUGGACUGUAUCUGACACUGAGGAGCGAAAGCGUGGGGAGCAAACAGG